rnacentral:rRNA from 1 species
AGCUCCAAUAGCGUAUAUUAAAGUUGUUGCAGUUAAAAAGCUCGUAGUUGAAUUUCUGAUAGAAGGGAGCGGUUCCGCAUUCUUGCGGAUACUGGCUCGUCUUCCGUCAUCCUUGGGCUUAGUCUCGCUGAUAUUAACUUAUCGGCGUGUACGAUGCCCAUCGUUUACUGUGAGCAAAUUAGAGUGUUCAAAGCAGGCAUUUUGCCAUUGAAUAUAUUAGCAUGGAAUAAUAAGAUAGGAUUUCACGAUUUUAUUUUGUUGGUUUGCGUUGUGAAAUAAUGAUUAAGAGGGACAGUUGUGGGUAUUCGUAUUCAGAUGUCAGAGGUGAAAUUCUUAGAUUAUCGGAAGACGAACGACUGCGAAAGCAUUUACCAAGGAUGUCUUCU